CCUACGGGAGGCAGCAGUGAGGAAUAUUGGUCAAUGGGCUUACGCCUGAACCAGCCAAGUCGCGUGAGGGAAGACUGCCCUAUGGGUUGUAAACCUCUUUUGUCAGGGAGCAACGCCGGCUACGUGUAGCCGGACUGAGAGUACCUGAAGAAAAAGCAUCGGCUAACUCCGUGCCAGCAGCCGCGGUAAUACGGAGGAUGCGAGCGUUAUCCGGAUUGAUUGGGUUUAAAGGGUGCGUAGGCGGAAUGCCAAGUCAGCGGUAAAAUCGCGGGGCUCAACCUCGCUCCGCCGUUGAAACUGGCGUUCUUGAGUGGGCGAGAAGUAUGCGGAAUGCGUGGUGUAGCGGUGAAAUGCAUAGAUAUCACGAAGAACUCCGAUUGCGAAGGCAGCAUACCGGCGCCCAACUGACGCUGAAGCACGAAAGCGUGGGUAUCGAACAGGAUUAGAUACCCUUGUAGUC
rnacentral:rRNA from 1 species